rnacentral:rRNA from 1 species
AGAGUUUGAUCAUGGCUCAGAUUGAACGCUGGCGGCAGGCCUAACACAUGCAAGUCGAACGGUAACAGGAAGCAGCUUGCUGCUUCGCUGACGAGUGGCGGACGGGUGAGUAAUGUCUGGGAAACUGCCUGAUGGAGGGGGAUAACUACUGGAAACGGUGGCUAAUACCGCAUAACGUCGCAAGACCAAAGAGGGGGACCUUCGGGCCUCUUGCCAUCAGAUGUGCCCAGAUGGGAUUAGCUAGUUGGUGAGGUAACGGCUCACCAAGGCGACGAUCCCUAGCUGGUCUGAGAGGAUGACCAGCCACACUGGAACUGAGACACGGUCCAGACUCCUACGGGAGGCAGCAGUGGGGAAUAUUGCACAAUGGGCGCAAGCCUGAUGCAGCCAUGCCGCGUGUAUGAAGAAGGCCUUCGGGUUGUAAAGUACUUUCAGCGGGGAGGAAGGUGUUGUGGUUAAUAACCGCAGCAAUUGACGUUACCCGCAGAAGAAGCACCGGCUAACUCCGUGCCAGCAGCCGCGGUAAUACGGAGGGUGCAAGCGUUAAUCGGAAUUACUGGGCGUAAAGCGCACGCAGGCGGUCUGUCAAGUCGGAUGUGAAAUCCCCGGGCUCAACCUGGGAACUGCAUUCGAAACUGGCAGGCUUGAGUCUUGUAGAGGGGGGUAGAAUUCCAGGUGUAGCGGUGAAAUGCGUAGAGAUCUGGAGGAAUACCGGUGGCGAAGGCGGCCCCCUGGACAAAGACUGACGCUCAGGUGCGAAAGCGUGGGGAGCAAACAGGAUUAGAUACCCUGGUAGUCCACGCCGUAAACGAUGUCUACUUGGAGGUUGUGCCCUUGAGGCGUGGCUUCCGGAGCUAACGCGUUAAGUAGACCGCCUGGGGAGUACGGCCGCAAGGUUAAAACUCAAAUGAAUUGACGGGGGCCCGCACAAGCGGUGGAGCAUGUGGUUUAAUUCGAUGCAACGCGAAGAACCUUACCUGGUCUUGACAUCCACGGAAGUUUUCAGAGAUGGAAUGGUGCCUUCGGGAACCGUGAGACAGGUGCUGCAUGGCUGUCGUCAGCUCGUGUUGUGAAAUGUUGGGUUAAGUCCCGCAACGAGCGCAACCCUUAUCCUUUGUUGCCAGCGGUUAGGCCGGGAACUCAAAGGAGACUGCCAGUGAUAAACUGGAGGAAGGUGGGGAUGACGUCAAGUCAUCAUGGCCCUUACGACCAGGGCUACACACGUGCUACAAUGGCGCAUACAAAGAGAAGCGACCUCGCGAGAGCAAGCGGACCUCAUAAAGUGCGUCGUAGUCCGGAUUGGAGUCUGCAACUCGACUCCAUGAAGUCGGAAUCGCUAGUAAUCGUGGAUCAGAAUGCCACGGUGAAUACGUUCCCGGGCCUUGUACACACCGCCCGUCACACCAUGGGAGUGGGUUGCAAAAGAAGUAGGUAGCUUAACCUUCGGGAGGGCGCUUACCACUUUGUGAUUCAUGACUGGGGUGAAGUCGUAACAAGGUAACCGUAGGGGAACCUGCGGUUG